GUCCGUAACGUGAUUAGAUGAAAUCUCGCCGUACGAGGUACUUUCGCCCGAGAAGAAUUCUGGAAGCUGUGAACAUCAUGAAGACUGUGAAAGCGUAGUGCUCGGAUACGGAAGAAUCGAUGAAGGUUGGAAGGCAUCUCAACAGAUAGCUGGAAGACGGGAGGCGGAAAGUUGGGCGGCCUGGAGGGUCGCGUACUUGCCGUGCUCGGCCGUACCGGCCCAGCUUCCACCCCUGUGGAUUUUUUCCCUGGCGAUUCCGAGGUGAGUAGCAAUGUUCGUUGCUAUGUGUACCGAUGUCGGGCAGUUACACCGUGGUGAAUAUUUUGCCGUUGUGUGCUUGUGUG
rnacentral:lncRNA from 1 species